rnacentral:rRNA from 1 species
AGAGUUUGAUCCUGGCUCAGGAUGAACGCUAGCUACAGGCUUAACACAUGCAAGUCGAGGGGCAGCAUGAAGGCAGCAAUGUCUUCGAUGGCGACCGGCGCACGGGUGAGUAACGCGUAUCCGACCUGCCGCAGACACGGGGACAGCCUUGCGAAAGCAGGGAUAACCCCCGAUGAUCUCGUUCCAACGCAUUAGGGAAUGAGCAAAGGAUUAAUCGGUCUGCGAUGGGGAUGCGUUCCAUUAGAUAGUCGGCGGGGUAACGGCCCACCGAGUCGACGAUGGAUAGGGGUUCUGAGAGGAAGGUCCCCCACAUUGGAACUGAGACACGGUCCAAACUCCUACGGGAGGCAGCAGUGAGGAAUAUUGGUCAAUGGGCGAGAGCCUGAACCAGCCAAGUAGCGUGAGGGAUGACUGCCCUAUGGGUUGUAAACCUCUUUUGCAGGGGGGUAAAGUGGUUCACGUGUGGACCAUUGCAAGUACCCUGCGAAUAAGGAUCGGCUAACUCCGUGCCAGCAGCCGCGGUAAUACGGAGGAUCCGAGCGUUAUCCGGAUUUAUUGGGUUUAAAGGGAGCGUAGGCGGGGGUUUAAGUCAGCUGUGAAAUGCCGUGGCCCAACCAUGGAACUGCAGUUGAAACUGGACCUCUUGAGAGUACAUAAGGAAGGCGGAAUUCGUGGUGUAGCGGUGAAAUGCAUAGAUAUCACGAAGAACUCCGAUUGCGAAGGCAGCUUUCCGGGGUACAUCUGACGCUGAAGCUCGAAAGUGCGGGAAUCAAACAGGAUUAGAUACCCUGGUAGUCCGCACCGUAAACGAUGGACACUCGCUUUUGGCGAUAGACAGUCAGGAGCCAAGUGAAAACGUUAAGUGUCCCACCUGGGGAGUACGCCGGCAACGGUGAAACUCAAAGGAAUUGACGGGGGCC